UUGCCCCAUGAUGCUCAGGUCCGCCGCAUCUCCUGGUCUCGUGGGGUCGGUCGGCUGAUUGGCGACGGGAUUCCUCGUGCCCGCGGCAAUCAGCCGGCCGCUCU
rfam:Martelella sp. AD-3, complete genome.